CGAGCGAGUGGUGCAAUACUGUUCGAGAUUACAAAUCUGAUUUUUUAUCAGUACUGAUGAUAACUACAAUCCGAACGGGUGAACAAAACACAAGGAUGAUAAGAAUUUAAAAGCGUUCGGCUCUCAAAUCUACUACGGAACCUGGAACUGUUCAACCCGGGAUUAAGAAAAGGGGUAAUUUUUAGCCGAGGGUCUUUGUUUUUUUAAAAUAUGAGUGUUGUAAAGAUGAAACAAUUUGAAAGCGGAGAAGAAUUUAUAUUCGAUGGCAUUACUAAAAUUCCAAUUUUUGGAAUCGCCUAUGGUGUCCCACGCUCCUUGGCAUACGCCUCCAUGGGAAACAAAAAACAGAUGAUGAAUUCCAUACGCGGUGUCGCAGAAAAUGGGGCAGGUGUCCUCAAAUUAAUCGCAACUCCACUAACUGCACCAAUCGGUAAACUGGGUUGCGAUAAAUAUUUUGCAAUUUCGUCUACAUGCCUUCAAUGCAAUUUUUUGCAUAAUAAAAAGUGAAACAUUUUGUAUACUAAAAUAA